AGCUGCCGGACACCAGGAGACGAUGGAAGGUCUAUAGUGUUACAGCUCUGACCCAGGAAGUCCCAGGGUCUUGCCUUCCAGAAGGGUCGCGGCUCUUCCCUCCCUCAGUCCAACGAACAGGAGCACGUCACCUCCCGCAGCUCGGGGAGCUGGCCAGGAACGUGUUACAGCCCGUUUCGCUCCUGUCCGCAGCUGGGUGAGGCAGCCAGGAAAAUAUUACAGCUCUUCUCACGCCCGCCAUUCAGCAGGUCCUGACUUCUUGUGUGACAUCCAGAAGAAAGGGGUUACACAGACAGCUGGAGGGUGAGCAAAGUGGAGAAGUUCUCAGCAGAGAGGAGACUGGAGUGAGUUGCCCCUACCCGCAGGUGCCAACUGUAAUACAUCAGUAGCUGAACAGCUCAUUGCCCUCAAGUGUUCUUGCUCAUGCCUGGCUGAGUUAUUGAAGAAAUUGCUCAGAUCUCAAGCCCUUGUAGAUCACUGGUCCUGGCAGAUGUUGAAAGACAGCAUUCAAGGAACCACCUUGUACGCAGACACUGAAACCUCGCGAGACAACAAAACUGCUGACACCUUGAUCUUGGACUUCCCAGCCUCCAGAACUAUGUGAGACAUAGAACUAUAAACCAGCAAAGAGUACAUAGAACAAACAUUUUUUUUAGAAGGAUUAAAUGGGACAAUUAAACAAUUUGAUCAGCAUAAUGUCCAGCUCAAGGAUCUUGGAGGUGGUGAGGCAGCCCAAGUGGAAAGGCAGCAGAAGGGGUAUCCUUGUUUUACCAAUUACUCAUAUGUAGGAGAUGGUGCAUUAAAUGAAAUAUUCUCUGCUCUCUCCUAACAUCUACCCCCUCACACCAAGAGGAAGGCAUGUCGCCUGAACCUUUGCAGUAUUCAAUUAAAGUUCUAUUCACACGGUAUUGCAGUUGUUUGCUUAUCUUUCUUUCUUAUUAGACUUAAAACUUCUGGAAACUAGAGG
rnacentral:lncRNA from 10 species